rnacentral:tRNA from 1 species
GGCCUGCUAGCUCAGUCGGUUAGAGCGUUGUGCUAAUUACGCGAAGGUCGUACUUUCGAUCCCUGCGCAGGCCA